CUUCCCCUCUCUUCUCCUGGGGAACAGUUGUGGAAUGAGUGUGGAUUUUUGUUGGAUUUGAUUUAGAUGCUUUCAGAAGUAUGGAGCUAAAUGCAGAGCCCUGGAGAUGCCCAGAAGCACACACGGGUGACCAUUGCUUGCUGAAGAUGACAAUGCCAGUCUGUGUGGCUUCUGAACUCUGACAUUAUGUCCCCAAACUAUAACCUUACAUUAAAGAGUACACGUGGGA